GCUUCGCUCUUAUCGAAGUUAGCGGCGGACGGGUGAGUAACACGUGGGUAACCUGCCCAUAAGACUGGGAUAACUCCGGGAAACCGGGGCUAAUACCGGAUAACAUUUUGAACCGCAUGGUUCGAAAUUGAAAGGCGGCUUCGGCUGUCACUUAUGGAUGGACCCGCGUCGCAUUAGCUAGUUGGUGAGUUAACGACGCU
rnacentral:rRNA from 1 species